GAUUUUUUUUGGGCGGAGCUAAAACGGUGGCUCGAUGACGCACUGGAGCCACUGAGCUCCUGGCCCCUCCCCAAACAACAUAACUAGAGCACACAUUCGCAUCAGUUCGCCGCUCAAUCGCGAGUUUCUGUGGACUACCAUCGUUUAAUAACUUACACACUGAGGUUAAGCAAUGUUGCUAGUUACAUUACAUGUAGAAAUGUAACUAGCUACAAUACCUUGACCGGAGCAUAACUGGUUAACUUCACACAAGAGACCUACUGUUGGACAAUUGUUUUGGCUUUAAAGGAGAAAGUCAUCGCUCUGUAAUUGGCCCUUGGACUCCCCUGGCAUCUCGUGUACAGCAUGAAGUUUUCAGCUAUGAAGAUUUCCAGAGACUCCAGAAUUAAAAACAAGCCGUGAUGGAGGAGAACCAAGCCCUUAGGGAGGAGAACCAAGCCCUGAGGGAGGAGAACCAAGCCCUGAUGGAUGAGAACCAAGCCCUUAGGGAGGAGAACCAAGCUCUGAGGGAAAGCACUGCACGAGCAGCUUCGGAUGACAGCGGCUCACUUCAAGAGCAGGUGAAGCAAGUUGGGACAAUGUUGAAGACGUUUGCUCGCACUGGGCAAUCAGGUGCAGAUCAGACCUUAAUGCUGCGACGUCUUGGAGAGUUUGCCGAUGUUGUGCGAAGCAUGGACAACAAAAUGGACACUAUGCUGCAACAUUUCAGUGCCAAUGUGUCUGUUGGAGAGUUAUCCCUGCCAGGGGAUCUGUUACUCCCUCUAGACACCCAGGAAGAUUUGGCGUUGCUUGACAACAGUUUGAGGCAGGAUAAAGAGCUCCAGGAACGAUUUCUUCGGUUUUUGGCAAUCAAAUGUGGGAGGGACCUAUAAGACAACCGUCUGGCGGAUGCUUCAAAGUACCUUCUCUAAUCACCUUUCCAUCAAUACAACCUGGACUGGAGUUGGGGAUAAAGCAUGUUUUAGAGACAUGUUCCUGAAGACCAUUGUUCAAAGAGCCAUCCGGAAGAACCCGGCAACACAGGAUGCCACUGAUGAAGCCGUCCAGGUUAACGUUACGCGUUACCUGAAAGGAGCAUCUGACCGUGAAGGCGGAAAAAGGUGCCGCACAGCUGAGAGGGACCCACAGCCGACCCCUUAAACCUAGGCUGACUACUGACACCCCAGCAUCACUGACAACUGGAACCCUUUCUUUAUCCUGCAGUCAGUAACAUCAAGACCCCUAAAGAAGCCAGAAGUGUCAGACUGCACUCCCCAAUCCACACUGUUCACUGUGGAUAUUAUCAUAGUGCUUAACUCUUAUUAUAUUGUUAAAUAUAGCUUGUAAAUCCUUGUGCCACAGGUCAGCAUUGCAGUUAUAUCUGUUCUACUACUUUUUUUACCUCAGUAUUUUUUAUAUAUAUGUGAAGAUGUUUAUCACAGAUACAAGAGACAUCUUGUACCCCAGGUCAGCAAUGCCAAUAUAAUGGUCUAUUCUACUCCAGAGCUUUAUUCUAAAUUAUUACCACUUAUCUUAUUGUUAGAAAUGGCUUGUAAAUGUGAUGUUAUACCUGAAUUUUUUUUGGUGUCCUGCACAUUCUUUGGUACCAGAUAUACUCAUUACUUAUGUUUACUGGUAAUUCUUUUCAUCCCAGAGCUGACCUCUUUAUAUUAUUAACAAUUAUUGUAAGUGUUAUAAUUUGCUUGUAAGCUAAGGCUGUUUUUUUUUUUUUUAACAAUUUAAUUGGAAACCUGCAUGUUCUUUUGUGUGUGUGUGUAUAUAUUUUUUUCUCUUUUUUUCUGUUAUUUAUAUUUCAGGGAUCUGACAUCAUGUUUCAAUGACAGUUACUGUACUUUGAAAUGUGGAAUUAAAACGUCAAAUGGAAAUUUGUCUGGUUUGAUCAAUCAUUAUUCUUGAUAAACUGCAUGAUAUAUAUAUAUAUAUAAGCGGCGACCGAUCGCUCGAAAAUAGCGUUUGCCUCCGACGGGCCGCGGAAGGGUCGCCUUUGAUAUAACGGCGGCGGGACGGCGGUUGGCCCGCGGGCCGGCCGCGGAACGAAGGCGGUAGGAAGGCGGCUGCCGCUUCUAAAAAGCGGCUGCCGCCGGCGGUGCACCGUCAAACGUGUUUGCGAUUACGCCAUUCUGACGCUUCUACUGCCGCCGGAGCGCCGCCGGUGGUCCGCCGACUCAUUGCUAUCUGGGGUCUUUC
ensembl:lncRNA